UACGUAGGGCGCAAGCGUUGUCCGGAAUUAUUGGGCGUAAAGAGCUCGUAGGCGGCUUGUCACGUCGGGUGUGAAAGCCCGGGGCUUAACCCCGGGUCUGCAUUCGAUACGGGCUAGCUAGAGUGUGGUAGGGGAGAUCGGAAUUCCUGGUGUAGCGGUGAAAUGCGCAGAUAUCAGGAGGAACACCGGUGGCGAAGGCGGAUCUCUGGGCCAUUACUGACGCUGAUGCGCGAAAGCUAGGGGAGCAAACAGG
rnacentral:rRNA from 1 species